GCAAAGGACCAGCUCAAACCAGCAAAAAACCAGCUCAGACCAGCAAAGGACCAGCUCAAACCAGCAAAGGACCAGAAUAAACCAGCAUCCCAGCGUCAUAUGCUGGUUUUAUCAACAGUGAGGCAAUAACGGAAAAAACAGAAGCUGCGUCCCAAAUGACGCACUGUGCACUUGUACACUAUUAAUGCACAGUAUACUCAAUCAUGUAGUGGUAUGUGAUUUAAGCUGCGACAAUUGAGUGCAUGAAGUGCGUUAAAAUUGAAAUUCUUUUAACUUGAUGCAGCAUCUUAAAAACAUGCUUAGUUGGAUCAGGUGUGUUUAAUUAGCGUUGAAUCUAAGCUCUGCAGGGCUCCGGCCCUCCAGGAAUUGAGUUCGACACCCCUGGAAUACGCAUUGGAAAAAAACACAUUCUGUGUGAACAGCCCCUUGUUGACAUCUUGAAAAAAAAAAAUUAAAUCACACAGUAUGUCCAAAAAAAUAUAGGCUAUCCAUGUUUUUACGCUGCAAACACGCAGAGUUGUAACGGGUGGACCGACAAAAAGAUAAUGCAUUAUAAAGAUCUAAACAAUUAAGACAGAAAAAUAUGUUUAAUUAAUAUGAUUGAUAAUUGUUUAAAUUAAUAUAAUAAUUGAUACUUUUCUAAUUUUUGGUUUAAAGGCUGAAAUGUUAAGUUUAUACACAAGACUUUUUGUUUUUGUGAAAACCUGUAUCUGAACUGUAAAUCCGUGAUUUUACAGUUUAAUAUGUUACCAGAUAUUCCCCUCCCCCACUCAUAUGGUAUACAUUUUAUUUGUGCAGAUCUUAAAAAGUCUUGAAUUUGAGCGUAAAAAGUCCUGCAGAUACCCUGUUCAUGGUCGUAGUCUUUCUAGCAAACAUACAGUUGUGCUACAGGACAUAAAUCUCUUCCAGACUGACAUUUUGUGUAUUUUUCAUAAUUAAAUCAGGACAAUGGUGGACUUAACCCUAUAAAGACUACUGUAUCACAUCUGAUACACAACUUUCUAAGGCCUCUAAAUGGUCAAAAUGAUCAGAACUUUGCUGAUAAUCCUAAUGUUUGCAAUCUUCUACAUGC
ensembl:lncRNA